CCGGCGCUGGCAGGAAGGCGGGGCCGGGCGUGCAGGGGACUCGUCCGGCCGCGGCGCGGGGCUGCACGGCGGGGGCAGCGGGGGCGGCGCCCAGUCGCCCUGCCUAGGGCUCCCGCGAGCCGCCGGACCGAGCCGGUGUCCUGCCUCCGCUCCACGGGGCCGUGGGCGACUCGCCGAGCCCCGCUCUUACCUGUGCAACCUGACUUCGGCCUCGCCACAGACCUGACCGGGAGGUGUCCCUGUCCCCAUGUUACUGAUGAGAAAACAGGCUCAGAGAGACAAAGAAACAGAGGCCCAGGGACCUGAAGUUCUUUCCGGUGUUUCCCACUGGACCGCGUCUUCUCCACCCUGAGGAAUGAGGCCAAGAACAAGCCUAUCUUCCUUUAGACACUGGCCUUCCUGCCUUCGUGUGCCCUACCCCUGAACCUCACUCAGGCAUUUGGUCCUUGAUAGAGUGAGUGAAUAAACAGAAGACCUCACCUAC